UUAAAUAUUGUAAUAAUACUGUAGCUUGAGAUAAAAAGUAAACUAAACGCACCACACCGCAAACCCAUCAAAGUGUAUUUAUUAUCCUACGAAACACAAAAGUAAAGGAAACCCUAAAAUCAAAGUAGCUGAACCAAGAAGAGAAAGUACUACCGCACUAAUCUUCUUCUUCUUCUUCUUUUUUCUUUUUUUAUUCCAAUUGUUAAUUGAUAAAGCCCAAAAUGAAUUAUUUGUUGUAGACGAUACUAUUAAAAACUGUGCUCUCUCUCCAUGCCCAUGGAUUCAUUUCCAGAAAUGGAUAGCUUCAACUUGGAAAACGCUAGCCUCAACAUUAGCAAUAACGGUGCCACAUCACUUGCAACCUCGUCUUCUUCGACGUCAAGCCGGUACGAGAACCAAAAGCGCCGUGACUGGAAUACCUUUGGACAGUACCUGAAGAAUCAUAGGCCCCCACUUUCACUCUCCAUGUGUAGUGGAGCACACGUCCUCGAGUAUAGAUGAUUAUAAAUUAUGAAAGUUAUGAAAUUUUAAAAUAAUAAUAAAUAAUAACUAAUUAUCAUUAUAAAUUAUAAUUACAAUAUUAAUUAAAAAAUAACAUAUAAAGUAAAAUUAUAAACCUGAUAAGAUUGAAGCUUUCAUAUUAAAAAAUAUAAUGAUAUGAUUGUUAUCAAUGCAAUUUUCAUUUUCUAUAAAAUCUCUCCAAACUCUAAUAAAUCAACCCAAAUAUACUUUGCUUCAACAAGUUAAAAGAGGAUGGGAGUGAGAGGUGGAAUUCACUCUUUUCCACUUUAAAUACUUACUAGUUUAUAGAAAUAGCAUGUGAAAACAUUUACGUAAUAUAUUUAUAAAAAAAUUGCUAUGAAAAUUAAGGGCAUGAAAUGAUAAAGUUAAGAUGAUUUUAAUGUUGGAUUUCAAAUGUCAUUAUUUACAUUUAUAUGCAUGUAUUUUUUUUCUAAAUUUAUCAAAUAUAAAAAUAUAUAAAUACCUCAAAAUAAUAUUUGUUGUUUUAUAAAAUGAAUGGAUAAUAAUUUUCUAAUUGAGUUUGGUCUCGGUUAUUAGGUUACAUCAACUCAAUCAACUCCUUAAUUUAUAGUAUAGAUGAUUUUUUAUGGUUGCAUUAGCAUAGUAUAUAAUUACACAAGAAAAUUAUUAAAACUCCAUAUGUGUACGUAAAAAUUUAAUUUCAUAAAUUAUUAAUAUGUUAAAAUUUAUAUCAAUAAAAAUUAAACAAAUAGAAUAUAAAUAUUUAUAUUAUACUUAAUUGUCGAUAAGUUAAUGUCAAGAGUCAACUAAACACUAACUUGAUUGGAAAUUAAUUAAAAAAACAUAACCUUUUUACAAAGUAGCAAAUAUUAAAAUAUAAAAGUAUUUUUACAUUUUAUACAAAAUACAAAAAAAAAUCAAUUUAAAUCCAAAAUACAUAUAGAAAAAUACAAACAAUAAUCAUAUUUAAAAACUUUCAAAUCCUCAAUUUUAUCAUUCAAAUUAAAUCUCAUUUUUUAUAUUAAUUUUAAUAAAUAUAGUAAGGAUAUCAUUCUCAUUAAAUAAUAUAUACUGAUUUUAUUUUAAAAAUAAUUAUAUACAUAUAUAUGUUUAACAGUUAUAAUGAAUUCUAAUUUCAAGUCUUACAGCCUAUUAAUUUUACAGCCUAUUAAUUUUAGUCAAAGUGCCAAAUUUACACCUAUUAAACAGUGACCUGUCAUGAAAAUAUUGGAAGCCUAAACGGUGCCUUGGUUUUGGCUAGGAGUAAAGACAUUAAAAAUGAAAAAAAUAAAGAAAAAGGGAAAUCAAACGUCAGAAAUAUCAGAAACAGAAAGAAAAACUGAAGAAGAGUCAAGAGGGAAAUCAAACGCCAGUUUCCACUUUCCAGCUUCCAAGAUCUCUCUUCUCUUGCUCGUUUUCAUCUUCGUUGCUGGAUUGAUUUCAUUUUCUCGAUCUUACAACGAUUAGUAAGGGAUUGAUUCACUUUGUGAUCUAAAGUCUAAACUCUAUCAUCCUCUCAAAAAAACUCUGAAUCUACUGCAAAAACAAGCAAGAAUCAACAAGACGAAGUUUUAGGUACUUACUUGAAGAUUAUCAGUCUCUGAAUCUGAAUGUGAAGUGAUCAGUUUACUUUGUUUGCCGUUUGGGUUUCAGUUUAGCGACCGAAAUAUGAGAAAGGAGUUUUGAAUUUUGCUUGCUUAUUUGCUUGCUGUUUAUUUGGUUUCAGUUUUUGUUUGCUUUCUUUUUACUUUUUUUUAUUGAAAACACUGAUUUUGCAGGGGAAUAUAUUCCCUUUUGUUUUAUUAAGUUUCACUGUUUCUGUUGAUUUUUAUUUAGAGGAGGG
rnacentral:lncRNA from 1 species